AUACUUACCUGGCAGGGGAGACACCGUGAUCACGAAGGUGGUUUUCACAGGGCGAGGCUCAUCCAUUGUACUCUGUAUGUGCUGACCCCUGCGAUUUCCCCAAAUGCGGGAGACUCGAUUGCAUAAUUUAUGGUAGCAGGGUACUGUGUUUACACUUUCCCCUA
ensembl:snRNA U1 U1 spliceosomal RNA